rnacentral:rRNA from 1 species
AUUGAACGCUGGCGGCAGGCCUAACACAUGCAAGUCGAGCGAGUGGCGGACGGGUGAGUAAUGUCUGGGAAACUGCCUGAUGGAGGGGGAUAACUACUGGAAACGGUAGCUAAUACCGCAUACCAUCAGAUGUGCCCAGAUGGGAUUAGCUAGUAGGUGGGGUAAAGGCUCACCUAGGCGACGAUCCCUAGCUGGUCUGAGAGGAUGACCAGCCACACUGGAAAUGAGACACGGUCCAGACUCCUACGGGAGGCAGAAGUGGGGAAGAUUGCACAAUGGGCGCAAGCCUGAUGCAGCCAUGCCGCGUGUAUGAAGAAGGCCUUCGGGUUGUAAAGUACUUUCAGCGGGGAGGCGUUACCCGCAGAAGAAGCACCGGCUAACUCCGUGCCAGCAGCCGCGGUAAUAC